rnacentral:rRNA from 1 species
GUGCCAGCCGCCGCGGUAAUACGGUGGGUGCAAGCGUUGUCCGGAAUCACUGGGCGUAAAGGGUGCGCAGGCGGGCCUGCAAGUCGGAGGUGAAAUCCCAUGGCUCAACCAUGGAAGUGCCUUCGAAACUGUUGCUCUUGAGUCCCGGAGAGGCUGUCGGAAUUCGUGGUGUAGCGGUGAAAUGCGUAGAUAUCACGAGGAACACCAGAGGCGAAAGCGGACAGCUGGACGGGUACUGACGCUCAGGCACGAAAGCGCGGGGAGCAAACAGGAUUAGAAACCCCUGUAGUCC